GAUGAACGCUGACAGAAUGCUUAACACAUGCAAGUCGACUUGAAGCAACUUCGGUUGUGGAAAGUGGCGGACGGGUGAGUAACGCGUAAAGAACUUGCCCUUCAGUCUGGGACAACCAUUGGAAACGAUGGCUAAUACCGGAUAUUAUGGAACUCUCGCAUGGGAGGACCAUGAAAGCUAUAUGCGCUGAAGGAGAGCUUUGCGUUCCAUUAGCUAGUUGGUGAGGUAACGGCUCACCAAGGCGACGAUGGAUAGCCGGCCUGAGAGGGUGAUCGGCCACAAGGGGACUGAGACACGGCCCUUACUCCUACGGGAGGCAGCAGUGGGGAAUAUUGGACAAUGGACCAAAAGUCUGAUCCAGCAAUUCUGUGUGCACGAUGAAGGUUUUCGGAUCGUAAAGUGCUUUCAGUUGGGAAGAAGAAAGUGACGGUACCAACAGAAGAAGCGACGGCUAAAUACGUGCCAGCAGCCGCGGUAAUACGUAUGUCGCAAGCGUUAUCCGGAUUUAUUGGGCGUAAAGCGCGUCUAGGCGGGUUCAUAAGUCUGAUGUUAAAAUGCGGGGCUCAACUCCGUAUUGCGUUGGAAACUGUGAACCUAGAGUAUCAGAGAGGUGGGCGGAACUACAAGUGUAGAGGUGAAAUUCGUAGAUAUUUGUAGGAAUGCCGAUGGAGAAGUCAGCUCACUGGAUGAAUACUGACGCUAAAGCGCGAAAGCGUGGGUAGCAAACAGG
rnacentral:rRNA from 1 species